rnacentral:rRNA from 1 species
CGGGAAUCUUCCGCAAUGGACGAAAGUCUGACGGAGCAACGCCGCGUGAGCGAAGAAGGUCUUCGGAUCGUAAAGCUCUGUUGUUAGGGAAGAACAAGUAUCGUUCGAAUAGGGCGGUACCUUGACGGUACCUAACCAGAAAGCCACGGCUAACUACGUGCCAGCAGCCGCGGUAAUACGUAGGUGGCAAGCGUUAUCCGGAAUUAUUGGGCGUAAAGCGCGCGCAGGCGGUCCUUAAGUCUGAUGUGAAAGCCCACGGCUCAACCGUGGAGGGUCAUUGGAAACUGGGGGACUUGAGUGCAGAAGAGGAGAGCGGAAUUCCACGUGUAGCGGUGAAAUGCGUAGAGAUGUGGAGGAACACCAGUGGCGAAGGCGGCUCUCUGGUCUGUAACUGACGCUGAGGCGCGAAAGCGUGGGGAGCGAGC